AACUUUACACCGUUAGGCGAUGGAUUGUUAGGUACCCGCUUCGAUGAAGAGCGCAGUGAAUCGCGAUAACGCUUGUGACUCGNAUACUCUGUGAUCAACAUCAUCUUGAACAUACGUGCGGCCUCGUCUUCGGACGCUGGCCCUCUUGGCUUGCCUUG
rnacentral:rRNA from 1 species